rnacentral:RNase_P_RNA from 1 species
AUGUUCGGGUAAUCGCUGCAACGCUUGACGUUGUUGAGGAAAGUCCAUGCUCGCACAGUCCUGAGAUGGCUGUAGUGUUCGUGCCUAGCGAAGUCAUAAGCUAGGGUAGUCUGUUAAAAGGCUAACGGCAGGGAACUAGCCUAAGUCCUUCUGGAUAUGGCUUUACUACCUUUAAAGUGCCACAGUGACGUAGUCCUCGAAGAAAUGAGAGGAGUGGAACGAGGUAAACCCCACGAGCGAGAAACCCAAAUAAUGGUAGGGGAAUCCUUUCGAAGGAAUUGAACUUAGAAAGGGACAGAGUUACUACUCUGUAGAUAGAUGAUUACCACCGGAGUACGAGGUUAAAAGCCGUCUGUAGUACGAAGGGACAAAACAUGGCUUACAGAA